UACGAAGGGGGCUAGCGUUGCUCGGAAUCACUGGGCGUAAAGCGCACGUAGGCGGAUUGUUAAGUCAGGGGUGAAAUCCUGGAGCUCAACUCCAGAACUGCCUUUGAUACUGAAGAUCUUGAGUUCGGGAGAGGUGAGUGGAACUGCGAGUGUAGAGGUGAAAUUCGUAGAUAUUCGCAAGAACACCAGUGGCGAAGGCGGCUCACUGGCCCGAUACUGACGCUGAGGCGCGAAAGCGUGGGGAGCAAACAGG
rnacentral:rRNA from 1 species